rnacentral:rRNA from 1 species
GACAAACCCUGGCGGCCUGCCUAAACACUUGCAAUUCCAGCAAAAACUUUAUUCUCGGGUAACUAGUCCAGCGGACGACUGAUGAGUAACUCAUGAAUAUUCUGUCCAUACGUUUAUGAUAAUCUGAUGAGAUUUCGGCUACUCCUUAAUGAACUAUAACCGUGACGACACUGAUAUCACAAAUGUGGUUUUACCUUCAUUAAUGGAUCACUUCCCGUCAGGAUUAACUGUCUGGUGACGUACAUGCUCUCCCGAGCAUACGAUCCCUAGCUGGUCUGAUAAUACGAUCCACCGCACUGGAACAUGAGACACCGACCCCACUCCUACGGGACGCUGCGGUAGAUCGAAUCUUUCGCAGUGCGACCCUGAUCUGACGACGCACCCCCGCGUUGAGUGAGGAAUGCCCUUUGGGUUGUCUAUCUCUAUUGCCGAGGAAGAACGUAAUUGUAUGUGAAAUAUGCCUUAAUUGACGGUACCCGGUGAUCAAUCGCUGCCUCACUACGUGCCCGCAGCGCUCCGUACUUCGUUCAGUAGCCAUCGUUCUCCGGACUCAUUUAGCCUACCAGGUACGCCUGCUGAUAUGCCCCUCAGAUGUGCUCUGUGUACGCUUUGCCUACUGACUGCCUUUGAUCCUGUAUAUCUUGAUAGCAUCUCAUGAUGGCGGAAUUCCUGCUGUAAUGUUGAAAUACAUACAUAUCAGCGAAGAACACUGUGGCGAACGCAGUCUUCUCGGCUGCAUCUGACGCUCGUGUACGACAGCUGGAGCAUCGAAGGGGAUUAGAUACCCCGGUAGUCCCAGUAGUAAAUGAUGGACAGUAGGUGUUGGAGGUUAGAAUCAUUCAGUGCGGGAGUUAACGCAUUAAGUGUCCCGCGGAGUGAAUCCGGUCGCAAGAAAGUAAAUCAAAGGAAUGGAGGGCGGCCCGCACAAGCGAGCGAGCAUGUGGUUUAAUUGGAUGCAACGGGACGAACCUUACGGAGAAUAUCCAUCCAGCCACCACUUGUAAGAGCAGGUUCCAGUGUUUGCACUCCAUGACGACAGGUGGUGCAUGGUUGUCGUCAGGUGUUGUGAGGAGAUGGUGGAAUUCGUCCAGCAAGGACCGCCCCCGUCGUCAUUAGUUGCCAGCAGGUAGUGGGCGGUAUUGUAAGGAGACUGCCGUAGAAUGUGGGAAGAAGGUGGGGAAGAUGUCAUGUCCUCAUCCCCUUUGUUUAUGGGGACACACACGUGAUACAAGGGUGGGAACAGAGGGAGGUGAUGCUGGGAAGUUUAGCCAUUCUUGAAAACCGAUCUCAGUUCGGAUUGCAGUUUGCAACCCCUCUGCAUGAAGGUGGAAUCGCUAGUAAUCGCAGAUCAGAAUACUGCGGUGAAUACGUUCCCGGGCCUUGUACACACCGCCCGUCACACCAUGGAAGUCGCUUGCUCCAGAAGUCAGUGACCCAACCUUUUGGGGGGGAGCUGCCAAAGGAGUG